rnacentral:rRNA from 1 species
AUUGAACGCUGGCGGCAGGCUUAACACAUGCAAGUCGAGCGAGCGGCGGACGGGUGAGUAAUGUAUGGGGAACUGCCUGAUGGAGGGGGAUAACUACUGGAAACGGUAGCUAAUACCGCAUACCAUCGGAUGUACCCAGAUGGGAUUAGCUAGUAGGUGGGGUAAUGGCUCACCUAGGCGACGAUCCCUAGCUGGUCUGAGAGGAUGACCAGCCACACUGGAACUGAGACACGGUCCAGACUCCUACGGGAGGCAGCAGUGGGGAAUAUUGCACAAUGGGCGCAAGCCUGAUGCAGCCAUGCCGCGUGUGUGAAGAAGGCCUUCGGGUUGUAAAGUACUUUCAGCGAGGAGGCGUUACCCGCAGAAGAAGCACCGGCUAACUCCGUGCCAGCAGCCGCGGUAAUUC